UGGUGUAGUGGUUAUGAGUUUGGCUGCUAACCAAAAGGUUGAUAGUUCGAAUCUAUC
rnacentral:tRNA from 1 species